UACGGAGGGUGCUAGCGUUGUUCGGAAUUACUGGGCGUAAAGGGCGCGUAGGCGGCCGUUUGCGUCGGAUGUGAAAGCCCGGGGCUCAACCUCGGAACGGCAUUCGAUACGGGACGGCUGGAGACCGGGAGAGGAGAGUGGAAUAGCCAGUGUAGAGGUGAAAUUCGUAGAUAUUGGCUGGAACACCGGUGGCGAAAGCGGCUCUCUGGCCCGGUUCUGACGCUGAGCCGCGAAAGCCAGGGGAGCGAACGGG
rnacentral:rRNA from 1 species